rnacentral:rRNA from 1 species
CAAAGCACUUUGAAGAGAGAGUUAAAGAGGACGUGAAACCGGUAGGAUGGAAACGGAUAGAGCUAGCGAAGUCGUUCGUAUUCAGCCGAAGGCCGGCGGUAUCGGUGUGCCGGGUUGCUAAUCACGCCUGGUGUGCCUUAUGCCGCUGGUUGAGGUGCAUUUGCGGACGUUUGCGCUGAGACUUGCGGGCCAGCUUCUGGACCCGGGCCUAGAGGCCGUCCUUUGGGCGGAACUUGGGCACGGCGACGGUUGUUUGCGUUCUGCUCGUACCGCGGUCUGGCCUACGGGUUGGGGCGUAGCCGUUGUUUGCCUAUAGGUGGCAUCGCUUGCGAUGUCUCUCUUGGCGGCCGCGGUUGCGUUCCGACUCACGGACCGCUUCUCGGUGUAAAAGCUGGUCACCUAUCCGACCCGUCUUGAAACACGGACCAAGGAGUUUAGCGUAUACGCGAGCCAUUGGGUGUCAAACCUACAGGCGCAAUGAAAGUGAAGGCCCAGUCGCUGGGUUGACAUGCGAGCCGGUGGCCCUCGGGCCGCCGGUGCAGCAUGGUCCCGUUCCGGUGGCUUGCCACGGAGCGGAGACAGAGCGUAUGCGCUGAGACCCGAAAGAUGGUGAACUAUUCCUGAGCAGGAUGAAGCCAGAGGAAACUCUGGUGGAAGUCCGAAGCGAUUCUGACGUGCAAAUCGAUCGUCU